GGAGGUUCCCAGGCUAGGGGUCGAAUCGGAGCUGAAUAUUUUCAAAACAAGAUUUCUGUCAAGAAGAAAAAGUCAUGAGUUCUUUCUAAAGGCUCAUCUCUGUUUCUUUUGGUGGUUCAGCACUACACGUAUACAUAUAGUACAAGGACUGUAGAAAGAUGACGUGGCUUUUCAAUUGUGUUUCUGAUAUUUAAGCACACAUACUUAAAGAUCUUUAAAGUUAUCAGAGAUGUCAAGUUGAUGGCUAUUCCAAAAUUUUUAAACUUUCCUAAAACACGGUAAAUUAGCUUAGGUAUUUCUGCUAGUAAUUAUUCUUUCCCCCUGCAGUUGCUGGGCUCAAGAAAUGAACUACACAUUUGAGAAUGACCUUUUCAUUGAAUCUUUCAACAUUAAAUGUUUAGUAAGCGUAACCUUAAAGUUACUUUAUCUCUUUCAAGAGAAAAGAAAUAUUAAUAUUAUACACACACACACUUUCUCCGUGUACAACCUAAAACGUGGCGAAAAUAUUUAUGUUUUCUUCUAGAAAAAAAAAACAACCAGUGACUUUUAUGUAUUUAUUUUUUUGGUGUGUGUGGUUUGUCUUUUUAGGGCUGCUCCUUUGGCAUAUGGAAGUUCCCAGGCUAGGGGUCAAAUCAGAGCUGUAGCCACCGGCCUACACCACAGCCACCGCAAUGCGGGUUCCGAGCCCCAUCUGCGACCUAUACCACAGCUCACGGCAACGCUGGAUCUUUAUCCCACUGAGCGAGGCCAGGGAUCUAGCCUGUGUCCUCAUGGAUACUAACUAGUCAGGUUCAUUAACCACUGAACCACAACGGGAACUCUGACCAAUGACUUUUAAAAGCCUAAAGGUUCAAUUCCCAGCUGUCGAAAAUUGGUCCAGGCUGCUGCAGGGAAUAUAUGUUUCUUCAAGAGGCCGAACCCUGUCACAGGUGCCUGCUGACCCACUUAUGCAAACCUCGUUAAGGGGCCAGGUUCCUUUUGUAGGUCUCCAGGUCCUCCCAUGAUGGCCUGUCAUAACCGGCUGGGGCUGCUGAAGCUGAAUCACUUCUGUUUAAUUUUUAUAGCUUUGGUGUAACUAAUCAGAGUUGGAGGAAUGGCUAAAAUAAACCUUUGGCAAUAUUCUGCAGCAGCCUGUAAUAAUGUGGAGAGUUCCAUUUUGCAACGAAGAUAAAGCCCUGAAGAUGCUGUGACUUUGGUUCAAGAGUUCCUUCAACUGUGUAAGGAAGUUUUCGUUAUUUCAUCAGUGGUUUGACUUUUUAUUAAAAUAAUCAACUCCAUCACUCCAUUUGUAAGACACCAUGAUUUUCCUACCUUCUGGGUAACUUAUUAGUAUAGUAAAUAUUUCCAGGUGCACAACUUUAUGACCUGACUAAUUUGUGAUCCCCUCCACGGUGUGUGCAGUGUUUCAAAGGAGUCAGGUGUCUGAGUGAAAACCAUGCCAAGACUGUGGUUGGUGUUUGUGUUCAUUGCUCUAAGAUUUACUUAUUGGCUUUCAUACAUUUUCUUUGCAGAACAUAUGCUUUAGCCAUGCAUUUUUUUUUUUUUUCUGUUUUUUUGCCUUUUCUAGGGCCGCUCCCAUGGCAUAUGGAGGCUCUCAGGCUAGGGUCUAAUUGGAGCUGUAGCCACCAGUGUAUCAGAGCCACGGCAAUGUGGGAUCUGAGCCACAUCUGCAACCUACACCACAGCUCACAGCAAUGCCGGAUCCUUAACCCACUGAGCGAGGCCAGGGCUCGAACCUGCAACCUCAUGGUUCCUCGUCAGAUUCAUUAACCACUGAGCCACGAUGGGGACUCCUAGCCAUGCAAUUUUAGUGUUGGAGUUUGUGCUAUUAGGCUUUUUGUUUUUGUUGUGUAAGUUCUCUGCAAAAACCUUUGUUGAAAGACUGCAGCUUCUUGGUUUGUGCCCCUGGACUGCUUUUCCAUGAUUCACAGCACCAUUGAUGAAUGCAUGAUUCACAGCAGCCACCAAGUUCAGGACCUCCCCUUGUUGACUUUGUGGGUCAUGUUCCAUGAUCUUGAGAGAGUUGUUUUCUUGACCUAGGAAUGGCCAGCACCUCUGCAUGUCAGAAAACUUUGUGGAACAAGUGUGUGUGUAUACACAUGUCAUUUUAUGUGUAGGUGUGCAUAUUUGUAUAUAUGUAUUUGUGUACACACACACCACUCUGGCAUUUGAAAGGGAAGGGAAAAGGAAAUAGUCUUGGUUAAUUAAUUCUUUGACGUGUGGAUCAUUGUUUCAGAAAAUUCUGGAACAUUGGUUUAUGCGAUGUGAUGUGAGCAGGGGAAACCAUUUGCUUGUCUACACUUAAGAAGGAAGAACCAUAGGGACAUAUGGAUCUGCAGGGAGAUGGUAUAUGCAGAGAUUGUAACCAUUUUACUCCAUUUCUUUAUCAACUAGUAAUAUUAGAUACAAAUCUGUGUAUGGGAGAACAUAUAAAUCAUUUAUCUUUAAUUGAAAGGGUGGUUGGGAGGUCAUAAACUUACACUUGACAAUGCAACUUCAGGGAAGCAAAUACAAUAUAAGAAUUAUUUAGAGGAGUUCCCAUCGUGGCGCAGUGGAAAUGAAUCUGACUAGGAACCAUGAGGUUGCAGGUUCCAUCCCUGGCCUCGCUCAGUGGGUUAAGGAUCUGGUGUUGCCGUGAGCUGUGGUGUAGUUCGCAGACUCAGCUUGGAUCUGGCUUGGCUGUGGCUGUGGCGUAGGCUCUGAUUCAGCCUCUAGCCUGGGAACCUCCAUAUGCCUCAGGGGCUGCUGUAAAAAGCCAAAAAAACAAACAAACAAACAAAAAAGAAUUAUUUAGAAAUAAUCUUUUAUCACAAAGUUAAUAUUACAUGAAUAUUGAAUUCUAUAUUUACCUGAAAGCAACCUGUACAUUCUCUGCUGGGUGGAUUAUGACAGGUUUCACUGCAAUUAAGUGUGAGGCAGUGUAUAUGACAGUAUUUAGACUGUGAUUUAAAGCUUUUUGUUUUUGUUUUUUUAUAAAGAACACAUUAUUUUACGGAGAUGCCGAGAGAACUUGCUUUAGCAAGUUUAAAUCUACUGAUGUGGAGGUAUGACAUUUUAAUCCACGUAUUUUAAAUGAUGUUUGGUUGCUGUUUGUUUAAAAGCAACUGAAUAAAAACAUCUCCAGCUAUCCAGAUUUCAGUCUGUACAGGUGACUAAUCAUAUUGUAGAUUUGAACAUAAAGGUUCUAGUGAAAAAUAAGUUACAAUAAAAAAAUGUAUUUGUCUGCUCCCUGAUUUGAAAGUACAGAAUGUUUUCCGUGCCUUUGAGAUAUGGAGAACUGUGACAUUGAAAACAAUGGUAACCAUGGUGAAUGCACCUUUCAAAAUAAAUGAAAAAAAAAAA
rnacentral:lncRNA from 1 species